rnacentral:lncRNA from 1 species
UUUCAUUCUCUUGGUUUUCUUCUAUGAGUCUCGGGCAUUUUUGGUCUCUCUAAUAUCGUCACCUUCGGUUUUCAAAUCUGUAGUUCAUUCUUUGUUGUAAAUCAGAUAUUGACCUUGAUUUGUGGCCUUUGGUUUGUUGUAAUCUCAGGCUUGUGUUGUGGCCUGUGUAUAGUGUUCAUGACAGGAAGUUUAGAGGCUUCUUUAAGUUGGUUUUGCGCUGUAAAGAACUAUUCUACUCUUGUGCCAGUUAGGUGGUGUUAUUGUGAGACCUGUUAUAGAUCGAUGAUCUACUAAUUAGGUCAGUGAUCUGAUUGUUGUACUCUAAACUUAAUCUCUCUCUUGAGAGGUUCUUAAAUAUAGUGAUGGGUUCUUACGUCUGAGUCCCCCGAGUAGGCUUUGUCAAAUUGGUUGAGCAUUUCUUGUGUUGAUUAUUACUGUUUUCGUGGGUCUAUGUUUCAAUUUUCUGAAUAUUGCUUCGGUUGGGUGGCAAAAUCCCAAUAAACUGGUAUCAGAGUCUGGUGAGGCGUGGGUAAGGCAUCUAUGAAAUUUGAUUUAAAGUUAUUGAUCUAUGCAAUACCAAUAACUCGAACUGAACGGAUAUUCGGUUCUGAAAUCAGCACUGGAG